rnacentral:rRNA from 1 species
GGUUGAUCCUGCCAGUAGUCAUAUGCUUGUUUCAAAGAUUAAGCCAUGCAAGUGUCAGUUCCAUUGGGAAUAUAGAAACUGCGAAUAGCUCAUUAAAAUCGUUGUAACCAAUUCGGUAGUAUCUUAAAUGGAUAUCCAUGGUAAUUCUGUGGCUAAUACAUGCUAAUUCCAAAGGAAGGCAUAUAUCAGCUUUGAAACAAACGGUUUACCGUUCUGGUGAUCAUGGUGAUAUGUCGAUCGUCAUACGACAUGCCGAAUGGGCUUAUGGGCUUUGAACCUAUCAGCUUUGUCGG